rnacentral:snRNA from 1 species
GUUGUCUCUACAAAAACGUUAAAUAAAAUUGGAACAUAUAUAGAGAAGAUUAAUACUGCCCCUGCACAAGAAUGAUGUGCACAAAUCAAGAAAUGGUCCAACCUAAG